CAGUAGCCACGGUAAUACAGAGGGUGCGAGCGUUAAUCGGAUUUACUGGGCGUAAAGCGUGCGUAGGCGGCUUCUUAAGUCGGAUGUGAAAUCCCUGAGCUUAACUUAGGAAUUGCAUUCGAUACUGGGAAGCUAGAGUAUGGGAGAGGAUGGUAGAAUUCCAGGUGUAGCGGUGAAAUGCGUAGAGAUCUGGAGGAAUACCGAUGGCGAAGGCAGCCAUCUGGCCUAAUACUGACGCUGAGGUACGAAAGCAUGGGGAGCAAACAGGAUUAGAUACCCCGGUAGUCCCUGUCCUUAUACA
rnacentral:rRNA from 1 species